GAAAUUUAAGGGCGUACGGUGGAUGCCUUGACUUUAAGAGGCGAUGAAGGACGUGGCGUUGCUGCGAUAAGCUUCGGGGAGACGCAAAGCAGUCUUUGAUCCGGAGAUUUCCGAAUGGGGAAACCCUGUAGAGUAAACCUCUACAACCUUGAGCUUUAUGUUCAAGGAGCAUACCCUGGGAAGUGAAACAUCUCAGUACCAGGAGGAGUAGAGAACAAUAGUUAUUUCCUAAGUAGCGGCGAGCGAAAAGGAAGAAGCCCAAACUCGAGUAGCAAUACUCGGGGGUUGUAAGGUAACAAUUUUUAUUUAUUUAAAGAAGAGUCAAAAAAUAAAUUAUUAGCUUAAGUUCUUGGAAAAGGGCACCAUAGAGGGUGAUAGUCCCGUCUGCGAAAAUAAUUUAUCUCUUUUAUUGUUAUUCUUGAGUACCCCAGGACAUGAAUGGCCGGGGGGAAUCCAGCGGAACUAACCGCUAAGGCUAAAUACUCUUAAAGAUCGAUAGUGAACUAGUACCGUGAGGGAAAGGUGAAAAGCAGCCCGAUUAGGGCGGUGAAAUAGACCUGAAACCGUAUGUCUACAAGGAGUCGAACUCCGUCUUCGGAUGGAGAACGGCGUGCCUAUUGAAGAAUGAGCCAACGAGUUUAUGCAUACUGCUAGGUUAAGUUGACUAAAACAACAAAGCCGAAGGGAAACCGAGUGUUAAUAGCGCGACUGUAUAUUUAUUUAUACGGGUAGAAUGCAUAAGACCCGAAGCCAGGUGAGCUUGCCAUGAGCAGGAUGAAGUAGGUCGAAAGACUUAUGGAGGUCCGAACGGGUAGAUCGUACAACGUCUUCCGAUGACUUGUGGUAAGGAGUGAAAAGCUAAUCGAACCUGGUAAUAGCUGGUUCUCUCCGAAAUAGCUUUAGGGCUAGCGUCGUGUGUUUCUUUUGGGGGUAGAGCACUGGAAGGUUUCGACAGGGAGCAAUCUCGCGAAACCUAUCAAACUCCGAAUACUAGAAGUAAGAACACGGCAGUUAGGCCAUGGGGGCGAAGCUCCAUUGGCCAAAAGGGAAACAGCCCGGAUCUCUAAAUAAGGUCCCUAAAUAUAUACUAAGUGUAAGACAAGAAGGUGAAGUUUCUCAAACAAUGAGGAGGUUGGCUUAGAAGCAGCCACCCUUUAAAGAUAGCGUAACAGCUCACUCAUCUAGNNNNNNNNGAGAUUUUGCGUCGAAAAUAAUUGGGGCUAAGUAUAUUACCGAAUUUGAGGAUUUUAAUCCCCUUAGGGGGCCUAAAGUGGUAGGAGAGUGUUCCAAUCCGCAGUGAAGGAGGACCCGUGAGGGCCUCUGGAGCGUUUGGAAGUAAGAAUGUUGGCACAAGUAACCGCAAUGAUGCUGAGAACGCAUCACGUCGAAAGAUCAAGGUUUCCUUGGUAAUGUCAAUCAGCCAAGGGUUAGUCGGGCCUAAGGGAAUGGCGAAAGCCGUACUCGAUGGACAGCGGGUUAAUAUUCCCGCACUUCUGUAUUUUGUGAUGGGAUGACGGAGUGUAGUAUGUAUCGCUCAUUAUUGGAUUUGAAGUUUGUGUAUUUAGGAUGAUGUGUAGGAAAAUCCGCACGCUGCCUUUAAUGGCGAAUCCAAGAUAUAUGAAAAAUUUUAUUCUUCGGGAUAGGACAAUGAUACAAAGCACGCUUCCAAGAAAAAUCUCCUAAACUUAUGAAUAUAGAAUCCGUACCGCAAACCGACACAGGUGAUCAGGUCGAGUAGACCAAGACGAACGAGUGAGUGGUCCCCAAGGAACUCGGCAAAAAAGCAGCCGUAACUUCGGGAUAAGGCUUGCCCCAUAUUUAUUUAUGGGGCCGCAGCGAAAGUAUCUCUGGCAACUGUUUACCAAAAACACAGCUCCCUGCGAACUCGCAAGAGGAUGUAUAGGGGGUGACACCUGACCAAUGCCAGAAGGUCAAAUAUCGCCUUUGUAUGUAGCAAUAUGUAUGGUGAGUGAUAUAAGCCCUGGUGAAUGUCGGCCGUAACUAUAACGGUCCUAAGGUAGCGAAAUACCUUGUCGGGUAAGUUCCGACGCGCACGAAUGGUGUAAUGACUGGAGAACUGUCUCGGGGACCAGCUCGGUGAAAAUACAAUACCGGUGAAGAUGCCGGUUAAGUGCAGUUAGACGAAAAGACCCUAGAAGCUUUACUAUAACUUUAUAUUGAGCAUGUUUUUUGUCUGCGUAGCAUAGAUGGGAGGGGUCUGACGUAUACGGUUUCGGCUGUAUUCUACCCAACAGUGAAAUACCAUUCUUACCGAAGGCAUGUUCUAACCAAAACGGCAAAAACGUUUUGAGACAGUAUAUGGUGGAUAGUUUUACUGGGGCUGUACCCUCCUAAAAAGUAAAGGAGGGGUUUAAAGGUUAGCUAGGCGCGAAUGGAAACCGUGCCGAUAGUGUAAUGGCACAAGCUAGCUUGACUGUGAGAGGUACAUCUCAAGCAGGUGCGAAAGCAGAACAUAGUGAACCGACCACCCGUGUUAGACGCGGUGGAAGAUUAACGGAUAAAAGCUACUCUAGGGAUAACAGGCUAGUUCCGCCCAAGAGUUCAUAUCG
rnacentral:rRNA from 1 species